GGCCCAUUAGCUCAGUUGAUUAGAGCGUCGUGCUAAUAAUGCCAAGGUCGCGGGUUCAAUCCCCUCAUGGGCCA
rnacentral:tRNA from 1 species